UACAGAGGGUGCGAGCGUUGUCCGGAAUCACUGGGCGUAAAGGGCGCGUAGGCGGUCUGGUAAGCGUGCGGUGAAAGCCCGGGGCUCAACCCCGGGUCGGCCGUGCGAACUGCUGGACUGGAGCUUGUCAGAGGCAGGCUGAAUUCCGGGUGUAGCGGUGGAAUGCGUAGAGAUCCGGAAGAACACCGGUGGCGAAGGCGGCCUGCUGGGACAGUGCUGACGCUGAAGCGCGACAGCGUGGGGAGCAAACAGG
rnacentral:rRNA from 1 species